AAGGAGCGCACAGUCUAUUGAG
rnacentral:miRNA from 15 species